CCACAUUCCCAUUUCCCCCAAACUCCCAUUUCCCCCCAAAAUUCCCAUUUUUCCCCAAUUCCCAUUUUCCCACUCCUGCAGACGCCGCCCUCCCCGCGGAGCCGGAGCCGCUGGAUCCCCUUCCCCAACUCUUCGCACCCUUCGGGCCCUGCGCCGCCCGGGCGGAAUUCCCCAAAUUCCCGGAAUUCCCGGAGUUCCCGGAGUUCCCCAAAUUCCCGGAGUUCCCGAAAUUCCCGGAAUUCCCGGAAUUCCCGCUGGGCCCGGGCCCGGAGCUGCUCCUGGCCGAGCCGCCCCCGGCCGGGGACCCCCCCCCCAUUUCCAGCCUGCUGGGGUCCCACCUGUUCCCGGGGGGGGAGGGCUGAGCCUUCCCAAAAUCCCCCAAAAUUCCCAAAAAAUCCCCACAAAAUCCUCCCGAAAUCCUCCUCGAAAUCCUUCUCGGAAUUCCCAAAAAUCCUCCCAAAAAUCCCCCCAAAAAUCCCCUCGAAAUGCUCCCAAAAUCCUCCUCCAAAUCCUCCUCGGAAUUCCCAAAAAUCCUCCCAAAAAUCCCCCAAAAAUUCCCCAAAAAUCCCCUUGAAAUGCUCCCGAAAUCCACCUCCAAAUCCUCCUCAGAAUUCCCAAAAAUCCUCCCAAAAAUCCCCCCAAAAAUCCCCCCAAAAAUCCCAAAAAUCCCCUCAAAAUGCUCCCGAAAUCCUCCUCCAAAUCCUCCUCGGAAUUCCCAAAAAAUCCUCCCAAAAAUCCCCCCAAAAAUUCCCCAAAAAUCCCCUCAAAAUGCUCCCGACAUUCUCCUCGAAAUCCUCCUCGGAAUUCCCAAAAAAUCCUCCCAAAAAUCCACACAAAAAUCCCAAAAAUCCACACAGAAUCCUUCCAAAAUCCUCCUCGAAAUCAUCCUCGAAAUCAUCCCAAAAUCCUCCUUGGAAUUCCCAAAAAUCCCCCCAAAAUUCCCAAAAAUCCACACAGAAUCCUUCCAAAAUCUUCCUCGAAAUCCUCCCAAAAUCCUCCUCGGAAUUCCCAAAAAUCUGCACCAGAUCCUUCCAAAAUUCCCAAAAAUCCGCACGAAAUCCUUCCAAAAUUCCCCUCGAAAUUCCCAAAAAUCCCCCUCAAAAUCCUCCUCGGAAUUCCCCCCAAAAUUCCCAAAAAUCCGCACGAGAUCCUUCCAAAAUCCCCCCGGAUUCCCGAAAUUAUUGGGAUUUUGGGGGGAAAUCCGGGACUUUGGGUGGAAUAAAGGCACAGACGGACACCCGGGAGGUGUGCUUGUACUGGGAGGGACUGGGACAAACUGGGAGGGACUGGGAGGGACUGGGACAAACUGGGAGGGACUGGGAGGGACUGGGACAAACUGGGAGGGAACUGGGAGGGACUGGGACAAACUGGGAGGGACUGGGAGGGACUGGGAGGGACUGGGAGGGAACUGGGACCAGUUUGGGACUGGAACUGGGACCAGUCUGGGGCCGGAACUGGGACCAG
rnacentral:lncRNA from 1 species